rnacentral:rRNA from 1 species
AACGAACGCUGGCGGCAUGCCUAACACAUGCAAGUCGAACGAAGCCUUCGGGCUUAGUGGCGCACGGGUGCGUAACGCGUGGGAAUCUGCCUCUUGCUUCGGAAUAUCAGUUAGAAAUGACUGCUAAUACCGGAUGAAGUCUUCGGACCAAAGAUUUAUCGGCAAGGGAUGAGCCCGCGUAGGAUUAGGUAGAUGGUGGGGUAAAGGCCUACCAAGCCGACGAUCCUUAGCUGGUUUGUGAGGAUGAUCAGCCACACUGGGACUGCGACACGGCCCAGACUCCUACGGGAGGGAGCAGUGGGGAAUAUUGGACAAUGGACGCAAGGCUGAUCCAACAAUGCCGCGUGAGUGAUGAAGGCCUUAGGGUUGUAAAGCUCUUUUACCAGGGAUGAUAAUGACAGUACCUGGAGAAUAAGCUCCGGCUAACUCCGUG